CGUGUACCGUGCAGCAUCAGCGUCCAUUCCUUGAUCCAGCCGUGCUGAGGAGUUUGGGAAUUGAAGCUGACCUGAGAAGGAGAAAAGUUCAUGAGACUUUGAGUGAAAAGAUAAAUUCAAGAUAAAGGACGUCAGAUGGCUGUUAUAUUACAAAACGAAGCUGACCUACCUCAAGCAACCAUACCCCUUGGGGAUAUUCGCCCCAAGUGUGAGUCGUCAUGAACGGCCAUUUUGUGAAGCCAUCUCUAUGAUCGUCAUCGUUCACUCUUCUGCUUAGGAUCAUGGAUCUUUCACAGUGAUUCACUUACCUCGUUCCCAUGGGAGACGUAAGGAAAAGUUCCACGUCGCCGCGACGCGUCGCAUUCACCGAAAUGACCGCCUGAACGUGUUCCAAGUAGUUCACGGCGUAAUCCGUGCCGGCACAGGCGUCC